rfam:Toxocara canis scaffold205, whole genome shotgun sequence.
GUGGCAGUAGCUCAGCCGUACAGCUCCCGCUUCCUAAGCGGAAAAACCUGGGUUCGAUUCCCGGCUGCUUUC